rnacentral:rRNA from 1 species
UACGAAGGUCCCAAGCGUUAUCCGGAUUUAUUGGGUUUAAAGGGUGCGUAGGCGGGUUAUUAAGUCAGUGGUGAAAGCCUUCAGCUUAACUGAAGAACUGCCAUUGAUACUGAUGAUCUUGAGUAUGAUUGAGGUGGGCGGAAUGUGUCAUGUAGCGGUGAAAUGCUUAGAUAUGACAUAGAACACCAAUUGCGAAGGCAGCUCACUACACAAUCAUUGACGCUGAGGCACGAAAAGCGUGGGGGAUCAAAACAGGA